CUGCGACCAGAACGCAGGUCUUCCUGGCCGGCUUCCACUCCCUCAGGCCUCUUCCCUUUGAAUCUUUUCCCAGACAACAAAGGUACCAACCACUGUACUCAGCGCUGGGGAUUUCAAGAUGAAUCCAGGUCUUGUCCUUAAAGGGUCCACUAUCUGCCAGGUGAAAUGGCCAGAUACACAGGUCUCUGCCCAGCGCCCCGGGGAACUGCGUUUAGUAACACGGAGCAGGAGAGGCAGAGAGCGCGGCGCUGACUCCACACAUGACUUGGAAACCGGCUUGGCCUGAUGGCAGGAGAAUGAUGCUUACCAACAACCCUGACCUUGACCCAGCGGAGGCCAGGAACAUCACUGACUCAGCCACAACAGCCAGAACCUCUCCAGACAUUAUCAGUUAUCCCGGGAAGAGAAAUCAACGCAAGUUGAGAAGCUCGGUUCUGAUGUCCUUCACUCCCCUCUCUCUGGUAAAACUCCUGUGCAUCCUACUCACCUACCUACAAAGUCACUCUCCUUGGAAAGCCUUCCCUGUCUUCUCUGGGAAGAAAUUAAUGGAAAAUUAAUUGCUUCGUCCUCUGAUCUCUCAUAUCCCUUUUUGUAUUCUUGUGUUAACAUUUACUUCUUUUCUUAUUACUUGUCUACUAGACUUGGUGCUUGUUGAGGGGACCCAUCUCAUUCACCUUUUGUUCCCCAGCAGAAUAGAUUUUUUUUUUAAGUUAAUGAAUUAAUCAAUGACUCCUAAGUGAAAAAAUGACCUCUCAAUGGAUUUGUGUUUAGGGUUAAUUUGAACAGUGGAACCAUUGUCUGACUGAGGUUAGAACUGAAAAUGAAGAGGUUCCUGAGUACCCAGGUGGAUUCACAGGGACCUAUGACUGAUGAGGUGUGGUUUUUUCCACAUUUCCUUUCAGGGGCCCUUUGGAAAGAUGUUCAGAAUGUUAGACAGGAGGGGUGGGUCAGAGGACUAUGGGACUCUGGAAAGACACAGAAAUCAGGAGUAAAUCUGGGGAAACUUCAUCUGCUUUGGGUAUAGAAAAUAAAAGUGUGUGAAUCGGUGAAGCCACAAGGCAAAUGCCAAUAAAGUCCA